CGGUUAAAAAGCUCGUAGUUGGAUCUCGGCAAGUAGAGGGCGGUAUGCUUCGUAGCAUUACUGCCCUAUUACUUGUAGUUUUGCCAGAGGUUCCUGGGUGCUCUUAAUCGAGUGUCUAGGGAUGCUGGCAGGUUUACUUUGAAAAAAUUAGAGUGCUCAAAGCAGGCUAUUACGCUUGAAUAUUCGUGCAUGGAAUAAUAGAAUAGGAAGUUGUUUCUAUUUUGUUGGUUUUCGGAAAUCGACUUAAUGAUUAAUAGGGACAGUCGGGGGCAUUUGUAUUCAAACGACAGAGGUGAAAUUCUUGGACCGUUUGAAGACAAACUACUGCGAAAGCAUUUGCCAAGAAUGUUUUCAUUAAUCAAGAACGAAAGUUAGAGGUUCGAAGGCGAUUAGAUACCGCCCUAGUUCUAACCAUAAACGAUGCCAGCUAGCGAUCUGAGGACGUUUUUUUUGUAGACUCCUCAGGAAGCUUCCGGGAAACCAAAGCGUGUGGGUUCCGGGGGAAGUAUGGUUGCAAAGCUGAAACUUAAAGGAAUUGACGGAAGGGCACCACCAGGAGUGGAGCCUGCGGCUUAAUUUGACUCAACACGGGAAAUCUCACCAGGCCCGGACACUGGAAGGAUUGACAGAUUGAGAGCUCUUUCUCGAU
rnacentral:rRNA from 1 species